CCAUGGACUUUCACUCUGGUCCCAUGGCUAUAGCUGGAUGAUGUGUUUCUACCUCCAAUCAAGCAUCCAGAUGUGGUUGUGGGGUAGAGGUUAAAGAACCCCGCUGUCUAUGUUAUACAUCGACAUAUGAAGUGAAUGAUCUUUACCUGUCUAUUGAAAUCAAAAUAGGUAUACCCAGAGUGUGGGGCAAAACAGGAAAUCUGGUGCAAGUUGGCAAGAGCUCGCCUGCAUCUGGUGACUCAAGGACUGAAGCUUCCUCCAUCUGCUGAGGCUGCCAUCACAAUAUGUAAAUUCCCAGGUUGCCAUGGUGGGGAAAGAGGGGGAUAGAGAAAGCACAGCAGCUCUUCAAUUCCUCAGCUCAUAAGUGACAC